GACGAACGCUGGCGGCGUGCUUAACACAUGCAAGUCGAACGAUGAAGCCCAGCUUGCUGGGUGGAUUAGUGGCGAACGGGUGAGUAACACGUGAGUAACCUGCCCCUGACUCUGGGAUAAGCGUUGGAAACGACGUCUAAUACCGGAUAUGACUACUGGUCGCAUGGCCUGGUGGUGGAAAGAUUUUUUGGUUGGGGAUGGACUCGCGGCCUAUCAGCGUGUUGGUGAGGUAAUGGCUCACCAAGGCGACGACGGGUAGCCGGCCUGAGAGGGUGACCGGCCACACUGGGACUGAGACACGGCCCAGACUCCUACGGGAGGCAGCAGUGGGGAAUAUUGCACAAUGGGCGAAAGCCUGAUGCAGCAACGCCGCGUGAGGGAUGACGGCCUUCAGGUUGUAAACCUCUUUUAGUAGGGAAGAAGCGAAAGUGACGGUACCUGCAGAAAAAGCACCGGCUAACUACGUGCCAGCAGCCGCCGCGG
rnacentral:rRNA from 1 species